rnacentral:rRNA from 1 species
AUUGAACGCUGGCGGCAGGCCUAACACAUGCAAGUCGAGCGGAGCGACGGACGGGUGGGUAAUGCCUAGGAAUCUGCCUGGUAGUUGGGGAUAACGUCCUGCAACGAGCGGUAAUAUCUCAUACUAUCAGAUGAGCCUAGCUGGGAUUAGCUAGGUGGUGGGGUAAAGGCCUACCAAGGCGACGAUCCGUAACUGGUCUGAGAGGAUGAUCAGUCACACUGGAACUGAGACACGGGCCAGACUCCUACGGGAGGCAGCAGUGGGGAAUAUUGGACAAUGGGCGAAAGCCUGAUCCAGCCAUGCCGCGUGUGUGAAGAAGGUCUUAGGAUUGUAAAGCACUUUAAGUUGGGAGGCGUUACCAACAGAAUAAGCACCGGCUAACUUCGUGCCAGCAGCCGCGGUAAUUC